UAAUAUUUUGCUGAGGACUUUUGCAUCUAUGUUCAUCAAUGAUACUGACCUGUAAUUUUCCUUUUUGCUUGUAUAUUUGUCUGGUUUCAAUAUCAAGGUGAUGGUGGCUUCAUAGGAUGAGUUUGGGAGUACGCCUUCUUUUCAGUCUUUUGGGAGAGUUUGAAAAGGACUGGUAUGAGUUCUCCUUUGUAUGUUUGGUAUAAUUCUCCGAUGAAGCCAUUUGGUCUUGAGCUUUUGUUUGUAGAGAGGUUUUUGUUUGUUUGUUUUUAUUGCUGACUCUAUUUCAUUUGUACUGAUUGGUUGGUUCAAGUGGUAUAUUCUUGUUUCAGUCUUCAUGGACUGAAUAUUUCCAGAAACUUGUCCACUUCUUCUAGGUUGUCCAAUUUGUUUCCAUGUGGUUGUUCAUAGAGAUUGGAAGAGC